GUAUGUGAUCUGGCCGCUGUCGGUUCCUCCUCGCCCCAUCGCAGCAGACGACCAGAUGGAGAGAUCGCAUCAUUCCUCCUUUCUAAGAUAUCAUACAUUCCGGCUUUAUGGGAUAUUUUCAAAGUAUAUGUUCAACGAGUUUUGGAACAAGACGUGUUCCUAGAGAACAGAAACAUCGAGCAAGAUUGAAUGCAAGUCUGCUUUCGUCAUCCAGCCUUCCUUCAAACUGACACAGUGCUGACGGGCGGAGGGACAGGCCGAAGAGCGUCGGACCCAUGACAGAUCUCUCGUGUCCCGAGGUGGAGCGCGGCUCUCCUGUACAGAUGCAGAGCCUGCGGGAGUUUGAACAGCACCAGCGGUCUAGCUCCACUGCCGUCUGCCGCAGGAGAGACAGGGGUCUGUCUCCACUGCCGUCCGCCGCAGGAGAGACAGGGGUCUGUCUCCACUGCCGUCUGCCGCAGGAGAGACAGGGGUCUGUCUCCACUGCCGUCCGCAGGAGAGACAGGGGUCCAUCUCCACUGCCGUCCGCCGCAGGAGAGACGGGGGGAUUUUAGAACUCUUUGAACUUCUAUUCACUGGAAUAUUUUUUACUAAAACAGAGCAAUUAGAAUUACUAUUUUUUACAGUCUAUUUUGGACAUAUUUUAAAUAGUAAAAACAACAAACAAAUAUAAAUGUAUAUGUAGCUUCAUGGGCAAUUAUUGUGUAUAUAUUAUUAUUUUUAUACAUUUUGGAAAAUAAAUAUAAGCAAAACCUUUAAUGUUAAUUAUUUCAUGAUCAGAUGUCAUGAAUUCUGAGUGAUAUUGUUGAGAAUAAUUUUAAUUAUUAUUAUAUUAGCUUUUAAACACAAAGACCUGAGGUGUAGAUGUUUGGACAAUCGGGAUCUUCCACUGUCAUUCCUCUCCUCGUUUAAAGCUGAUAAUGAUACCUAACAUUGAAUAAUGCUAUUGUAUUGUGUUAGGCUAAUAUUAAUUUUGGAAUAUGUCACAGAUAACUCCAGCUUGUACCGCCUGCAUAGAAAUAAAUCCAAUUACAUAACCAUUACAAAUGUCAGAAAAUAAAUCUUCUAGUUGAUUUGAUUUCCACACACUGACGACACUGCUAUUUCUGAUUGCUGUCGUGAAUGUUUAAUCCUCUUUAUGGUUCUUGUGGUGUAAGAAGCCAUGAAUCAGGGCUGGAAAACUAAAAAUAAAUGUCAUACUGACUCAGAAAUGUUACACAUC
ensembl:lncRNA